UACGUAGGGGGCAAGCGUUGUCCGGAUUUAUUGGGCGUAAAGAGCGUGUAGGCGGCUAGGUAGGUCCGUUGUGAAAACUCGAGCUCAACCUCGAGACGCCGGUGGAAACCAUCUAGCUAGAGUCCGGAAGAGGAGAGUGGAAUUCCUGGUGUAGCGGUGAAAUGCGCAGAUAUCAGGAAGAACACCGCUGGCGUAAGGCGGCUCUCUAGUACGGUACUGACGCUGAGACGCGAAAGCGUGGGGAGCGAACAGG
rnacentral:rRNA from 1 species